rnacentral:rRNA from 1 species
AGCGAACGCUGGCGGCAGGCUUAACACAUGCAAGUCGAACGGGCGUAGCAAUACGUCAGUGGCAGACGGGUGAGUAACGCGUGGGAACGUACCUUUUGGUUCGGAACAACCCAGGGAAACUUGGGCUAAUACCGGAUAAGCCCUUACGGGAAAGGAUUUAUCGCCGAAGAUCGGCCCGCGUCUGAUUAGCUAGUUGGUGUGGUAACGGCGCACCAAGGCGACGAUCAGUAGCUGGUCUGAGAGGAUGAUCAGCCACAUUGGGAC